rnacentral:rRNA from 1 species
AGAGUUUGAUCAUGGCUCAGAACGAACGCUGGCGGCAGGCCUAACACAUGCAAGUCGAACGAUAAGCCACCUUCGGGUGGUGGACAGUGGCAGACGGGUGAGUAACGCGUGGGAACGUGCCUUUCGGUUCGGAAUAACCCAGGGAAACUUGGGCUAAUACCGGAUACGCCCUUCGGGGGAAAGAUUCAUUGCCGAAAGAUCGGCCCGCGCCGGAUUAGCUAGUUGGUGGGGUAAUGGCUCACCAAGGCGACGAUCCGUAGCUGGUCUGAGAGGAUGACCAGCCACACUGGGACUGAGACACGGCCCAGACUCCUACGGGAGGCAGCAGUGGGGAAUAUUGGACAAUGGGCGCAAGCCUGAUCCAGCCAUGCCGCGUGGGUGAAGAAGGCCUUAGGGUUGUAAACCCCUUUCAGCGGGGAAGAUAAUGACGGUACCCGCAGAAGAAGUCCCGGCUAACUCCGUGCCAGCAGCCGCGGUA